GGAAUGGUGGUUGUGGAUGAGCUGCACAUGCUGGGAGACUCUCACCGAGGGUAUCUGCUGGAACUUUUGCUCACUAAGAUUUGUUUUCUUACUCAGAAAUCAGCAUCUCGUGUGGUGAGAUUUCAUACUGAUGGAUCUGAGUGUUGUUCUAUUUUCUUUUGUUAUGUUGGGUACUAAAUAGCUUUCUUUCAUUUAGAAAUAUUUGAAUAUAUAUCUUAGUUUAUGAUAGAAUAUAAUAUAUGAUAGAUAUACUAUAUCCCAAAUCCUUAGGAGUAUAGAAGAUAUGACUAAUACAAUCAGCAAGUUUGACCUAAUUGUUGUGUGUAGAAUAGUUACCAAAACCAGCGAGUACAUAUGUUUUUCAGUUUAUUCAAAUGAAACAUUUAGGUAAAGAUUUAUCAUACGCUGGGUCAUAUAAUAAGUCUUAAUAUAUAUCAAAGGAUUGAAAUUACUUCAAAUAUGUGCUUGGCUUCUGGGUGUGGUGGUGCAUGCCCAUGAUCUCAGCACUUAGGAGGCUGAGGCAGAAAGAUUGCUGGGAGUUUAAGGUCAGCCUGUGCUACAUAGUGAAUCCAAGGCCAGCCUGAACUACAUUGUGAGACCCUGACUCAAAAAAAAAAAAAACAGAAGAAGAACAAAAAAACCCCCAAAAACUAUUGACUGUAAUCAUUUUGUACUGCAAACACAUACUAAUA
rnacentral:lncRNA from 1 species